rnacentral:lncRNA from 1 species
AUUGUAGGGGUGCACCCGUGGCAUAUGGAGGUUCCCAGGCUAGGGAUCUAAUUAGAACUGCAGCUGCCAGCCUCCGCCACAUCCACAACAAGGCCAGAUUCAAGCCGUAUCUGUGACCUACACCACAGCUCACGGCAACACUGGAUCCCUAACGCGCUGAGGAAGGCCGGGGAUCGAAUCUGCAACUUCAUGGUUCCUAGUUGGAUUCGUGUCCACUGCACCACGAUGGGAACUCCCAAACUGGUCAGUUUUAAAAAUUUGUUUCUUGUUUUUUUCCCCUCUUCUCCUAAAACUGUAAGUUUAUUAAUUACAUGGUCUGCUUUCCAGGUUAUUGUAACUGACUUCUACCAAAUAUUUUGUGCUGCCUAAUGUGGAAUGCCAUGCUGCAGCCUCUGAGAACUUUCCCUGCUUCCUUUUAGUCUUUGUGUUAUAUCAGUGUAUAACUCCACUUCUGGGACCUGUUUAUAUCAGUCAGGAUAACUAGGUUAUGACGUGUGAUUUCAAGCAACCUCAAAAAUUUAGUUCUUGUUUGUGUCACGUUUUAUCAUGGAUCGUCUGGGGAACCAGGCUGCUGCAGCAGAUACCCAUAGUGACCUCUUCCACAGCAGUUAAAUAGUCUAGUCCACAAGUAAUGGAAGUGGCUCUGACUCCCAACUCAUUGGCCAGAAUUAGUUCCCCAGCCCCAGCGACUCUAGAAGGACCAGAAAGCAUGAUCAUACUGUGUGCUUGGAGGCCGCCAGAAAUGAUUUGAUGAACAAGAGUAAAGAUUGCCUAUUACACUCUCAGUAUUAAUCUUGUGUAUUGGAGAAGGAUGAAGAAAAGAGGGUAUUUAAUGUAGAUUACAUCCUACAACUCCUUGCCUUGUUGGCAGUGUGCAGUCUUCUCAUGUUUGGAAGACAUUUGUGAAGACAGAUAAGAGGCGUAACUUCCGUAGGCCAUAUUUUAUCUCUUCUGAGCUGAAGGUCUAAUUUAUCCUUCCCUCUAUUAAAAAGUAAGUUUUUCAUUCUGAGCGUGGUUUGGUCAAUUAUAAUACAAAGAAUAUCUCACCUACUAGAAGGCGUAUUUUGGUUGUCAGGGUCAAAUUGAAAUAGACAUAAAUUACUAAUUAACUUCAGGUGUAACACUGCUACCAUUUUAUUACUAGGAGGUUAAUUUGCAAAAUUAUUUUUUUUUAAUAGGGUUUAAAAAAAAAAAGAUUGACUAGCUUGUUUGCCACAGUUUUGCUAUUUGAAAUGAGAUCAGGAAAGCACAUUGCUUGUUCUAUUUAGGUGUAGAAGAAUCAACUUUUCAUUCUGACCAUAUUUAAUGUAACUCCUGAGGUGAUACAUACUUUUAUCAUGGUUUAUUUAUAUUUUUAUAGGAAAUAAGAUAAUUCAUGUGAUAUUUACAUGAGCACUAAAGACCUUUACAAGAAGGAAUAUAAUUUCCUUUUUUAUUAUGGCUGUAAAUACCAACUAAAGAGAUAAUUUAGGAGUUCCUGUUGUGGCUUAGGGGUUAAGAAUCUCACAUAGCAUAGGAGAUGGGAUUAAGAUGGCAGAAUAGAAGGACUGCAGCUCACCUUCCCUCAUAAAAACAACAAAAUUACAACCAAACACUGAGCAACCUUCAUCCAAAUGGACUAGAAACUUUCAAAAAGGUAUCCUAUUCCAGAAGACAAAGAGGAGGCCACACCAAGACAAUAGAAGGGGCAGUUAUACAAUAUAAGCAAUCCCAUACCCACUGGAUGGGAAGCCCACAGACCGGAUCACAGAGACUCACCUACACAAGUGAGAGUUCUGAGCCCCUCAUCAGGUCCCCAUGCCUGGUGAUCUGGCAUUGGCAGAAAGAACCCCCAGAUCCUCUGGCAGUGAAGGCCAGUGGGGCUUGUGCACAGGAGCUCCACGAGACUGGGGGAAACAGAGAUCCCAUUCUUUUUUUUUCUUUUUUUUUUGUCUUUUUGCUAUUUCUUGGGCUGCUCCUGCAGCAUAGGGAGGUUCCCAGGCUAGGGGUCGAAUCAGAGCUGUAGCCGCCGGCCUACACCAGAGCCACAGCAACAUGGGAUCCGAGCCACAUCUGCAACCUACACCACAGCUCACGGCAACGCCAGAUCCUUAACCCACUGAGCAAGGCCAGGGAUCGAACCCGCAACCUCAUGGUUCCUAGUCAGAUUCGUUAACCACUGAGCCAUGACGGGAACUCCAGGGAGAUCCCAUUCUUGAAAGGCGCACACAGGUUUUCAUGUGCACUGGGUCCCAGGGCAAAGCAGAGGCCCCAUAGGAAUCUGGGUUGGACCUGACUGCAGUUCUUGGAGGAUUUCUUGGGAAAACGGGGUGACUGUGGCUCAUUGUGGGGGAAGGACAUUGGAGGCAAAGCUCUUGGGAAUAGUCAUCAGCUUGUAUUCCUCUAGAGGUGGCAGUUUUGGGAAAAUCUGGUCCCACCCAUCAGCUCUGAGAAGCCCCAGACCAAACAAUAAUCUAGGUGGGAUCACAGACCCAGCCAUUGGUAAACAGGCUGUCUAAAGACCCACCAGGCACACAGGGACAAAGCCCCACCCACCAGAGGGAUAGGCAUCAUCCCUACCUACCAGUAGGCAGGCACCAGUCUCUCACAUCAGGAAGCCUAUAGCAAGCCCCCCAUACCAACUUCAGCCACAAGGGGGGCAGACAUCAGAAAUAAGAGAGGCUUCAACUCUAUUGUCUGCAAAAAAAGACCACACCAAAAACCUAUAAAUAUGAAAAGGCAGAGAAUUAUAACACAGAUGAGGGAACAAGAAAAAGUCUCGGAAAAACAGCUAAGUGCUCUGGAGAUUAUCAGCCUCCAGGAAAAAGACUUUAGACUGAUGAUGCUGAAGAUGAUGCGAGACACUGGAAGUAAACUGGAGGCAGAGACUGAUAAUUUACAGGAAACACUGAGCAAAGAAAUACAAGAUUUAAAACUUAAGCAAGCAGAGAUGAAAAAUACAAUAACUGAAAUAAAACAUUCAUUAGAAGCAACCAACAGCAGAAUACAGGAGGCAGAAGAACGAAUAAGCAAGGUGGAGG